AAUAUCUCAAGAAUUAAAGCCUCUCAACUACUCAGAUGGUUUGGCAAAGUGUCUUUGUAGUAUUUUUUUCUUUACAAUACAAUCGUGUGAAAUUUCUUGCAUAAGCACUUUAAAAUAAACUUUCACUUCACAAAAUAGUGCAUGGUCAUGACUAAGCCUAUAAGGAAAAACGAUUUGGACAAAUGGGAGGAUUCAUUAGACAAUAAUUAAAAAUACUUAAAUUUGAUUGCCUAUUUCCGGCAAUUAUACUAAUUAGAGCGUCAAUAUUUGUUGGAUUGGAAAAAUAUUUCUAUGUACAUAGAUUUAACCAAAGUUGUAUCAGAGCAAUUAAAUGAAACAAUACAGCC